GCAGGAAUGGGAAAGACUUCACCCUUCUACACAGCUUCAACAAUUCGUGUGCUCAGUUCCCAAACGCUUAUUGAGUGUUGUUAGAAGGAAAAGUAAUAUAACACACUGGUAAAAAUACCACCGUUCCAGCUUUUUUUGAAAUAUGUUACAUGGCAUCUAUUUCAAAAUGAGCAA